AUGCAGUCGAACGGAAACCUUCGGGUUUUAGUGGCGAACGGGUGAGUAACACGUAAGCAACCUACCCUAAAGACGAGGAUAACCAUUGGAAACAGUGGCUAAGACUGGAUAGGAAGAUAAAAGGCAUCUUGUAUCUUUUAAAAGACCUAGUUAAUAGGUAUGCUUUAGGAGGGGCUUGCGCCAUAUUAGUUAGUUGGUAGGGUAAUGGCCUACCAAGACGAUGAUGUGUAGCUGGACUGAGAGGUUGAACAGCCACAUUGGGACUGAGACACGGCCCAAACUCCUACGGGAGGCAGCAGUAGGGAAUUUUCGGCAAUGGAGGAAACUCUGACCGAGCAACGCCGCGUGAAUGACGAAGUACUUCGGUAUGUAAAGUUCUUUUAUCGAGGAAGAAAAGCAAAUGGCGAACCAUUUGUUUGCCGGUACUUGAUGAAUAAGCCCCGGCUAAUUAUGUGCCAGCAGCCGCGGUAAGACAUAAGGGGCAAGUGUUAUCCGGAAUUAUUGGGCGUAAAGGGUGCGUAGGCGGUCUAGUAAGUCAGUGGUGUAAUGUCAACGCUUAACGUUGUCCGGCUAUUGAAACUGCUAAACUUGAGUUAGAUAGAGGCGAGUGGAAUUCCAUGUGUAGCGGUAAAAUGCGUAAAUAUAUGGAGGAACACCAGAGGCGUAGGCGGCUCGCUGGGUCUUAACUGACGCUGAGGCACGAAAGCGUGGGGAGCAAACAGGAUUAGAUACCCUGGUAGUCCACGCCGUAAACGAUGAGUACUAAGUGUCGGGUUAAACCGGUACUGAAGUUAACACAUUAAGUACUCCGCCUGAGUAGUACGUACGCAAGUAUGAAACUUAAAGGAAUUGACGGGACUCCGCACAAGCGGUGGAUCAUGUUGUUUAAUUCGAAGAUACCCGAAAAACCUUACCAGGUCUUGACAUGUUUUUGCAAAAUGAUAGUAAUAUCGUGGAGGUUACCAGAAACACAGGUGGUGCAUGGUUGUCGUCAGCUCGUGUCGUGAGAUGUUAGGUUAAGUCCUAAAACGAGCGAAACCCUUAUCGUUAGUUGCCAGCACGUUAUGGUGGGGACUUUAACGAGACUGCCAAUGAUAAAUUGGAGGAAGGUGAGGAUCACGUCAAAUCAGCAUGCCCCUUAUGACCUGGGCUACAAACGUGAUACAAUGGCUGUUACAAAGGGUAGCUGAAACGCAAGUUCUUGGCCAAUCCCCAAAAACAGUCCCAGUCCGGAUUGAAGUCUGCAACUCGACUUCAUGAAGUUGGAAUCGCUAGUAAUCGCGAAUCAGCAUGUCGCGGUGAAUACGUUCUCGGGGUUUGUACACACCGCCCGUCAAACCACGAAAGUUGGCAAUACCCCAAAACGGUAGCCUAACUCGUUUAUUCGAGAGGGCGCCGUCUAAGGUAGGGUCGAUGAUUGGGGUUAAGUCGUAACAAGGUAUCCCUACCGGAAGGUGGGGAUGGAUCACCUCCUUUCUAAGGAAACCAAUAAAAUCAAUCAUCUUCAGUUUUGAAAGACUUAGGCAACUAAGUUUUUCUUCGUGACUUCACGAAGGGCCUAUAGCUCAGUUGGUUAGAGCACACGCCUGAUAAGCGUGAGGUCGGUGGUUCAAGUCCAUUUAGGCCCACCAGAGUUAUAGGUUUCGUAAGAACACAAAUUCUUUGAAAAUUAGGUAAAUAAUAGU
rnacentral:rRNA from 1 species